UACGUAGGUCCCGAGCGUUGUCCGGAUUUAUUGGGCGUAAAGCGAGCGCAGGUGGUUUAUUAAGUCUGGUGUAAAAGGCAGUGGCUCAACCAUUGUAUGCAUUGGAAACUGGUAGACUUGAGUGCAGGAGAGGAGAGUGGAAUUCCAUGUGUAGCGGUGAAAUGCGUAGAUAUUAGGAGGAACACCAGUGGCGAAGGCGGCUUGCUGGACGAUGACUGACGUUGAGGCUCGAAAGCGUGGGGAGCAAACAGG
rnacentral:rRNA from 1 species